CAUAUGUUCACGGCAUACAGGACCUCCCACAGCAGGCAACCGCUAAAACAUGUCUCUGGCAUGUUACUCAGCCCUGGCAGAGUGUCCAGUCAGGGGUGAGGGUAACUUUGCGGCCAGAAUCAUCAAGAUCUAGGGACUACUUGACAGCAGUUUGAGAUGACUACCUCAGGACUCAUGCAUUGUGCUCACGAACAGAAGAGCCCCAGCAGCAGAGAUAGAGGCUACCAUGCCCAUCCCCAAGCAUGCCCAUGCUAGCUGGGGCUGAAAACUUCUGAAGCUGCUGGACCUUGUCUGCAUGUAACAAUUACAAAACAUCUGAACGCCAAUAACAUAUUUUAUUCAGGGAAAAUCAAUCUAUUUGCCAGCAAGUUGAUCAGAGUGGCACCUUUUAUCUAAGAAAAGGCAGGAUUUUACCCAACAAGUAGAAUCCCACCUAUGUAUAAGUCCUUCCCUUGCAUAGUGCCUCAGUCAAUACUGUUGUCCAAAGGCUUCCUGAACUUCUGGUUCACAUGUGGGAUUCCAUACAGUAUCAGUUUAGACAGGCGACCUGGAGUAUGGCAAGAAAGUGAGGCACAGGGCACAUGUCUGUGUGUGAGAAUCAUGCACAGUCUGUACUAAUCUGAGGUUGAUGGCCUGGAGGAACCUGGCAAAAGUCUCUUAAGGUGCAGCUGAAGCACCUUUCACUGGAUGGUCUUUAAUGCUGAUGGAGCUCCAUCCUUCAAAACAGAUAUUAUGCACAAAAUGCUUUAUUAUGCACUCAGAGGCUUUUGUUGGAAUUGAAGACAUUCAAGCUAUGCAAACACCUCUCCAAAGAGUCACUGCCUUGCAGAAAUGCUGAUUGUCACAGUUAACUAGACACAAGUGAGGGUUAUCUAGGAAGAAGGAACCUUAAUUAAGGGAUUGCAUCCAUCUGUUUGACCUGUAGGCUUCACCAACGUUGGAGACAGACCUGACUGUUCUGGAUUGGAGAGAGACCUGACUGAGGUUAGUUAGACUGUGCUGGAUUGUAACCUAACCAGCAGACUCCCAGUUGCCUUUGGCUGUCUUCCUCAGUUUCUGGCCAAACUGAAAGCCUGUAGCUGAAGAGAGCCGGGUCCAUGGAUAGAUGAUCCAUUCACUUUGACUUCUAUGAGUAUCUUGUACUGGCUCAUUAACUGGCACUUGACAAGUAAUUAUCACGUUUGAUUUGAACACAGGGAAACACAAUCUGCCAUAGUGAAGGAAGGAAGCUCAUAGGAAGGGUGCUGGGGUGGUUAGCUUUUGUUGUCAACCUGACACAAGCUAGGAGCGUUUGUGAAGAGUAUCUCACUGAAGAAUUGUCUACAUUGGGUUGGCCUGUGAGCAUAUCUGUGGAGCAUUAUUUAAUUAAUGUGUGACAAUUCAAUCCACUGUGGACAGCACCAUUUCUUCAUCAGGGGUCCUGAACUGUAUUCGUGGAGCAAUCAAGCAGAACUCAGCAAGCAAGGCAGCUUGCAAGCAAGUAUGCCUGCAUGCAUCAGUUGUUUUCUUUCUCUUGCUUGUGGAUAUAGUGUGACAAGCUGUUCAAAGUUCCUGCUUUGAUCCCCCCGCCCCCAGUGAUGGACUGCAACCUUUCCUCUUCUAAAUUGCUUUUUCUCAGAGUAUUUUUUUUUUCAAAAAAGAUUUAUUCACUUAUUAUACCACAGCAACAAGAAUGAAAUUAGAACAGGCACCCUUCCUAGGAGUGAGCCCAUGUGAGUGGUGCAGCCCGGCGCCCUCUGUGGGCUGUUGACUCAGUGCCUCUGUGUUCUCUGUCUCUGUCAACACUUUCUCUGAGCUCCAUGGGAGUCUUGGGAGGUGCACCUGCGAGCAGCUCCUCAAAUAGAGAUGGCUGAACUUUCUAUUAUUUUUAAGGUUGAUGAUGAAAUAAAUCAUAGGUCUGCAAAGUGUGUGAUCCCGAAAGUUGAGGAGUUCUUAAAGUCUUCCUUCCUCUGAGAGGAUAAAAGCUGCAGUUCUUUUGUGCGAUAAUGACAGACUGUCAGCGUCUGUCUGUUUGCCUGACUCCCAUUCACUGAAUAAAUGCUGGUAAUUGCUAAUUGCCUGGAGAAGAAAACUGACUCACAGCCCCAAAGUGUCUUGCAUCUUGAUGUUGCAGGCUCUCUGAGCUGGUUUUAUGUCUAAAUCAGGGGAUGUCUUGCUGGAAUCUGCAUACUCACUUGCCUCCUCAAGGGUUGUGGGGUUAGAUUAAUUCAAGUGGGAUUUCUGUCAAUGACACCUCACUGGGAACUUUGGGGAGUCCUGUGCAUUGUAUCUUUCCUUACA